AACGAACGCUGGCGGCAUGCCUAACACAUGCAAGUCGAACGACACCUUCGUGUCUACUUGCGCACGCGUGCGUAACGCGUCGGAACCUGCCCUUAGGUUUGGAAUUACUCCUCUUAAGGGGUGCUAAUACCGGAUAAUUUCUUCGGACCACAGAUUCAUCGACUUUGGAUGGGCCCGCGUUGGUUUAGCUAGUUGGUAGGGUAAAAGCCUAUCAAGGCGAGGAUAGAUAGCUGGUAUGAGAGGAAGAUCAGCCACACUGAGUGUGAGAAACGGCCCAGAAUACUAGAGAAGGGAGCAGAGGGGAAUAUUGGAAAAUGGGCGAAAGGAAGAACGAGCAAGGGCGGGUAAGAGAUGAAGGCGUUAGGGUAGUAAAGCACUUUUACCUGGGAUGAUAAUGGCAGUACCGGGAGAAUAAGCACCGGCUAACUCCGUG
rnacentral:rRNA from 1 species